rnacentral:rRNA from 1 species
AAUAUUGGACAAUGGGGGAAACCCUGAUCCAGCCAUGCCGCGUGUGUGAAGAAGGUCUUCGGAUUGUAAAGCACUUUAAGUUGGGAGGAAGGGCGUCAAGCUAAUACCUUGAUGCUUUGACGUUACCAACAGAAUAAGCACCGGCUAACUACGUGCCAGCAGCCGCGGUAAUACGUAGGGUGCAAGCGUUAAUCGGAAUUACUGGGCGUAAAGCGCGCGUAGGUGGUUUGUUAAGUUGGAAGUGAAAGCCCCGGGCUCAACCUGGGAACUGCUUUCAAAACUGGCAAGCUAGAGUAUGGCAGAGGGUGGUGGAAUUUCCUGUGUAGCGGUGAAAUGCGUAGAUAUAGGAAGGAACACCAGUGGCGGAGGCGACCACCUGGGCUAAUACUGACACUGAGGUGCGAAAGCGUGGGGAGCAAACAG